CCCUUAGAUGUCCUGGGCCGCACGCGCGCUACAAUGACUCACUCAGAAAGUUUUUCCUGAUCCGGAAGGAUUCGGGUAAUCUUCAUAGCAUGAGUCGUGUUAGGGAUCGAUCUUUGCAAUUAUAGAUCUUGAACGAGGAAUGCCUAGUAAGUGCAGCUCAUCAGGCUGUACUGAUUACGUCCCCGCCCUUUGUACACACCGCCCGUCGCUCCUACCGAUUGAGUGGUCCGGUGAACCUUCUGGAUUAAGCAGCAAUGCUUGAGAAGUUAGGUAAACCUUAUCACUUAGAGGAAGGAGAAGUCGUAACA
rnacentral:rRNA from 1 species